rnacentral:tRNA from 1 species
GCCUUAGUAGUAUAAAAAUUACAUUGGUUUUGUAAACCAAAAAAGGAGCAUUACCUCUCCCUAAGACA